rnacentral:rRNA from 1 species
ACGCUCGACACCUACGGGAGACAGCAGUGGGGAAUAUUGCACAAUGGGGGAAACCCUGAUGCAGCAACGCCGCGUGAGCGAAGAAGUAUUUCGGUAUGUAAAGCUCUAUCAGCAGGGAAGAAAGUGACGGUACCUGAGUAAGAAGCCCCGGCUAACUACGUGCCACAGCCGCGGUAAUCUGAGCGGGCUGGCAAGGC